AUGAGCAUCAGCAUUUUCUCCCAGCUCUUUAGACCUACAGAGACCCCUGCAAACUCUCGGGAGGUGCUCCAAGUUCCUCUGAGAGCCCUCAAGCCUGUUUCUUCCUCUAACUUGCCCCAGCCGAGACGUGCACCCUUCUGCCCCCUCACUCCAUGUCCCUGCCCUCGUCUCCCUGGACCUGUUGGAUGCAGUGGGAAUGGGGGGGUGGUGUUCAUACAGUUCCCUCUUUUCAGAACACUCUCUCAACCAACCAAUCAGGUCUGCUCCGCUAACCCUUUGCAUCUGUCCUCACCAGCCUUUCCCAUAAGCUUCACGGGACCACCCCCAACCCCAUGAACCCUAGCCCCCUUCCUUUUGCCCCCUUCUGUUGCUACACUGUCUUCACUCUACUGUCAUUUAUUCAUUUAUAAGCCCGCUUGCCAGUGCCUUGCAAUGACCUGCCAGUGACAUUACAUACCACUUUGGUCUUAUUUUGUUUCUGCAGUGCCAUGGGUUAAGAACUCUCAUCAUUCUUGUUUUGAAAAGGAGGAAACGGGCACAUAGAAGUGAAGUGAUGUGACUCAGACAUCUAGGCAGCAAAUGAUAUAACUGGGAUUUGAACCCAGCCAGUCUGAUGCUAAAGCCCAUGGUCUGGAAUUUCAGGGAGAAGUUAGGAAUUUAGAAAAGGAAGGAAGGGGGACUUUCCUGGUGGCCCAGUGGUUAAGACUUUGCACUUCCAAAGCAGGGGGUGCAGGUUCAAGCUCUGGUUGGGGAACCAAGUUCCCACAUACUGCAUGGCACCGCCAAGAAAUUAAAAUAAACAAACAUUAAAAAACAUUUUUUUUUAACUAAAAAAAGGAAGGAAUGAAGUUAGUUGGAAGAAAGCAAGGAUGAAAUGGAUUCGUUAGGAAGGAAGAAAAUUAGGCAGCACAGGUAGAGAAUUAGUUGAGACGGAAGGAAGGAAAGAAGGGGAGAAGGAAGGGAGGGAAGUGAUAGGAAGGAAAAAUGAAGGAAAGGAGUUGGAGAGGAGGGUGUCAGAAAGGAAAGGAAGUCAAUACGAUAGUUAGGAAGGAAAUUAGCUAGGUAACUAGUUUCCCGUUUUGGCAGACAAACACGUUAGCAGGGAGGUGUCCGGCUCACGGCAGAGUCACUCACCUGAAAAAAAACUAGGUCCCAGCUCAGGUCCUGGGCUCCAGCCCCGUACCCAGCAAUGCCUUCCAGUCUCUCUGCAUGGUCCCUCUGACCCACAACCCAAUCCUGACUGCUCGAACAACCUUCCCGGGCAGGAGCGACCUGUCACCCACUCCCUCGGGCUCCCAAACCAGCUGAAGUUCAACCUUCAGCCCUGCUGGCUGGGCACUGGCUACCGGGCUUUCCGGUUACUAAUUAACCACUGGACCUGAAUCACGAUGCUGGCGGUGCCCACUGGCUCCUCCACCAGGCCCUGCCCUGGGGACCAUCUUUUAAAAGGUACAGCACAACUCACAUUGUGUGACCUUGGGCAAGUGACUCCAGCUCCCGGAACCUUGUGUGAAUGAGUGAUGUUGCCCAACAGGGAGGAGCUCUGAAGUACCUUUAACAUUUCAUUCAUUAAGUCCCUGUCCCAUUUCAUUCUCUGAAAUCUUGCCCCCACCAACUCCACCUGAAGCCCUGCUGAAAUACGGACUCUUUCUACGCAGUCUUCCCUGAUUCCAUUAGCAGAGUCACUAUCCCUUUUGCUUAGAGCCUGAGAAAUUGACCAAGGAAGGUGCUUGUUUUGCACCGUUCUCACUAAUGGGCACCACCAACCUCUUUGAUUAGCUCAAUCGUGGAUCCAUCUGGGGAGGAACAGCUCAUUUGCCCACUGUGCCAGCCCAACAACCUGAUACUCCUGGCACUCUCUUGUGUUGAGCCAAAUCCUGGGCCGAGAGCUCACCUGCCCCGGCACUGCCUGGGCACCGACCUGGGAGGAGCACCCUGUCUGAGUGGAGACCCGUGCCCCACCUUGCCUUUUGGAGAACUGAGACUCAGAAACCAGGGCUCAGCUCACCCCAGGCUUUGUCCUGUUUGAUCUGUAGCUGCCCAGACCGAGGGUUCUAACUCAGGGCAGGGGUGGAGCCUGGAUUGCUGGACAGGUGAGCAAAGUUUUGCCCCGUGUCCCCCUGCUUAGUAGGGAACUCAGAGUCUGACUGCCAUGCUGCCUCCUUUGCUGCCUUUUUUUUUUUUUUAAUUAAAAUGUCAACAGGCCUUUCCUGGUGGCACAGUGGUUAAGAAUCUGCCUGCCAAUGCAGGGGACAUUGGUUUGAUUCCUGGUCUGGGAAGAUGCCAUAUGCUUUGGAGCAACUGAGUCCUUUGCCACAACUACUGAGCCCAAAUGCCUAGAGCCUGUGCUCCACAGCAAGAGAAACCCGUGCACAGCAACAAAGACCCAGGGCAGCCAAAAAUAAAUUUUUAAAAAUGUCAACAACUUCCCAGUCAUUCC
ensembl:lncRNA